CAGAGGCACAAAUUAAAUAAGUAUUAAGUAGUUUAUCUGCAACCCCUGCCACAACACUCCCACCCACCCAUCCAAAGCCGCCUACUGCAACCCAAACUCCUAUACCUAUCCCCACCACCAUAUCAAACGCUACCUCUCCACCCUAAAAUCUUAUCCUUUUGCCUUUUGGCUCGUUUCAAAUGCGAAUUCAAUGAACAUAAUUGGAUAAAAAUGCAACAAAAGAAAUAGUAAGCGAAACGGCUAGAGAAAGAGACAGAGAAAUGGAAUGAGAAACAUUUGUGUGUGGGUGCCCCAUCAGGCUGUGGCUCCACCUCCGACAUCGAACGGCGCCGUCAAAUGAAAUCAUAAUUUAAAGGGUGUCCGUGUAUGCCACCCCACCCCACCCGUAUCCGCCAACGCCAUAGCCCCCGUCUCGAGAUCAUCGCGAAUUCAUAAAAGCAUGUCAUUUUGUGCACGCAAUCGCGUUGCGUUAUAAUUGGAAAUUGGAAGUGGCUGAGAAAAAAAUGAAAUAGCAGACGCAAACCUUUGCGGAAUUGACUGGACCUGGGCUUUGGUUUGAGUUUUGAGUUUGAGUCAAUCGAUGGGUUUGGAACAGUCGCCGUCUUUACCUGUCUAUACUUGUGUCAUUUGGGCUUGUCCAACAAAUUACGCGCUUCAGUUACACAAAAAGGCGACCAACACGUGCCCGCCCAUCCACCCUCGGCCUUUGCG